GUGGGGAAUAUUGGACAAUGGGCGAAAGCCUGAUCCAGCCAUGCCGCGUGUGUGAAGAAGGUCUUCGGAUUGUAAAGCACUUUAAGUUGGGAGGAAGGGUAGUAACCUAAUACGUUGCUACUUUGACGUUACCGACAGAAUAAGCACCGGCUAACUUCGUGCCAGCAGCCGCGGUAAUACGAAGGGUGCAAGCGUUAAUCGGAAUUACUGGGCGUAAAGCGCGCGUAGGUGGUUCAGUAAGUUGGAAGUGAAAUCCCCGGGCUCAACCUGGGAACUGCUUUCAAAACUGCUGAGCUAGAGUACGGUAGAGGGUGGUGGAAUUUCCUGUGUAGCGGUGAAAUGCGUAGAUAUAGGAAGGAACAACAGUGGCGAAGGCGACCACCUGGACUGAUACUGACACUGAGGUGCGAAAGCGUGGGGAGCAAACAGGAUUAGAAACCCGGGUAGUCC
rnacentral:rRNA from 1 species